GUCGUCAGCUCGUGUCGUGAGAUGUUGGGUUAAGUCCCGCAACGAGCGCAACCCUUGUCAUUAGUUGCUACAUUCAGUUGGGCACUCUAAUGAGACUGCCGGUGACAAACCGGAGGAAGGUGGGGAUGACGUCAAGUCCUCAUGGCCCUUAUAGGUGGGGCUACACACGUCAUACAAUGGAUGGUACAAAGGGUCGCCAACCCGCGAGGGGGAGCCAAUCCCAUAAAGCCAUUCGUAGUCCGGAUCGCAGUCUGCAACUCGACUGCGUGAAGUCGGAAUCGCUAGUAAUCGUGGAUCAGAAUGUCACGGUGAAUACGUUCCCGGGUCUU
rnacentral:rRNA from 1 species